rnacentral:rRNA from 1 species
GAUGAACGCUGACAGAAUGCUUAACACAUGCAAGUCAACUGUGGCGGACGGGUGAGUAACGCGUAAAGAACUUGCCUCACAGUUAGGGACAACAUUUGGAAACGAAUGCUAAUACCUGAUACUGUGAGAGAGCUUUGCGUCCCAUUAGCUAGUUGGAGAGGUAACGGCUCACCAAGGCGCUGAUGGGUAGCCGGCCUGAGAGGGUGAUCGGCCACAAGGGGACUGAGACACGGCCCUUACUCCUACGGGAGGCAGCAGUGAGGAAUAGUGGACAAUGGACCAAAGUCUGAUCCAGUAAUUCUGUGUGCACGAUGAAGUUUUCGGAAUGUAAAGUGCUUUCAGUUGGGAAGCGGUACCAACAGAAGAAAUGACGGCUACAUCCGUGCCAGCAGCCGCGGUAAUUC